UACGGAGGGGGCGAGCGUUAUUCGGAAUUAUUGGGCGUAAAGGGCGCGUAGGCGGCCUGGCAAGUCGGGUGUGAAAACUUCAGGCUCAACCUGGAGCGGCCACUCGAUACUGCCAUGGCUAGAGUCCGGUAGGGGACCACGGAAUUCCUGGUGUAGCGGUGAAAUGCGCAGAUAUCAGGAGGAACACCGGUGGCGAAGGCGGUGGUCUGGGCCGGAACUGACGCUGAGGAGCGAAAGCGUGGGGAGCGAACAGG
rnacentral:rRNA from 1 species